AGGCUCUAUUGCAAAUGCUCCAGGAGUAUUAACCCCUUCAGUCCUCACCGGCUGAAUGAAGAGACCCGGGGAUUCCUACACUGGUCAGUUGCAGCUUCCUACGUCCCAGCUGUGUGAUCUCUGUGAAAAGAAUCAGUGAAUAAAUGAGAAGUUCUUUUUAAAGGA